rnacentral:rRNA from 1 species
GAUGAACGCUGGCGGCGUGCCUAAUACAUGCAAGUCGAGCGAACAGACGAGGAGCUUGCUCCUCUGACGUUAGCGGCGGACGGGUGAGUAACACGUGGAUAACCUACCUAUAAGACUGGGAUAACUUCGGGAAACCGGAGCUAAUACCGGAUAAUAUAUUGAACCGCAUGGUUCAAUAGUGAAAGACGGUUUUGCUGUCACUUAUAGAUGGAUCCGCGCCGCAUUAGCUAGUUGGUAAGGUAACGGCUUACCAAGGCAACGAUGCGUAGCCGACCUGAGAGGGUGAUCGGCCACACUGGAACUAAGACACGGUCCAGACUCCUACGGGAGGCAGCAGUAGGGAAUCUUCCGCAAUGGGCGAAAGCCUGACGGAGCACCGCCGCGUGAGUGAUGAAGGUCUUCGGAUCGUAAAACUCUGUUAUUAGGGAAGAACAAAUGUGUAAGUAACUAUGCACGUCUUGACGGUACCUAAUCAGAAAGCCACGGCUAACUACGUG